rnacentral:rRNA from 1 species
AUACGUAGGGUGCAAGCGUUAAUCGGAAUUACUGGGCGUAAAGCGUGCGCAGGCGGUUUUGUAAGACAGUGGUGAAAUCCCCGGGCUCAACCUGGGAACUGCCAUUGUGACUGCAAGGCUGGAGUGCGGCAGAGGGGGAUGGAAUUCCGCGUGUAGCAGUGAAAUGCGUAGAUAUGCGGAGGAACACCGAUGGCGAAGGCAAUCCCCUGGGCCUGCAAGGACGCUCAUGCACGAAAGCGUGGGGAGCAAACAGGAUUAGAUACCCUGGUAGUCCACGCCCUAAACGAUGUCAACUGGUUGUUGGGGAUUUAUUUUCUCAGUAACGAAGCUAACGCGUGAAGUUGACCGCCUGGGGAGUACGGCCGCAAGGUUAAAACUCAAAUGAAUUGACGGGG